rnacentral:rRNA from 1 species
AAAGGAAGUUGACGGGGCCCGCACAAGCGGUGGAGCAUGUGGUUUAAUUCGAUGCAACGCGAAAACUUACCACCUUGACAUGUACGGAAUCCUUUAGAGAUAGAGGAGUGCUCGAAAGAGAGCCGUAACACAGGUGCUGCAUGGCUGUCGUCAGCUCGUGUCGUGAGAUGUUGGGUUAAGUCCCGCAACGAGCGCAACCCUUGUCAUUAGUUGCUACAUUUGGUUGGGCACUCUAAUGAGACUGCCGGUGACAAGCCGGAGGAAGUGGGGAUGACGUCAAGUCCUCAUGGCCCUUAUAGGUGGGGCUACACACGUCAUACAAUGGCUGGUACAAAGGGUUGCCAACCCGCGAGGGGGAGCUAAUCCCACAAAGCCAGUCGUAGUCCGGAUCGUAGUCUGCAACUCGACUACGUGAAGUCGGAAUCGCUAGUAAUCGUGGAUCAGAAUGUCACGGUGAAUACGUUCCCGGGUCUU